GACGAACGCUGGCGGCGUGCUUAACACAUGCAAGUUGAACGGUAAGGCCCUUCGGGGUACACGAGUGGCGAACGGGUGAGUAACACGUGGGUGAUCUGCCCUGCACUUCGGGAUAAGCCUGGGAAACUGGGUCUAAUACCGGAUAGGACCACUGCCUGCAUGGGUGGUGGCGGAAAGCUUUUGCGGGGUGGGAUGGGCCCGCGGCCUAUCAGCUUGUUGGGGGGGUGAUGGCCUACCAAGGCGACGACGGGUAGCCGGCCUGAGAGGGUGACCGGCCACACUGGGACUGAGAUACGGCCCAGACUCCUACGGGAGGCAGCAGUGGGGAAUAUUGCACAAUGGGCGCAAGCCUGAUGCAGCGACGCCGCGUGGGGGAUGACGGCCUUCGGGUUGUAAACCUCUUUCAGCACCGACGAAGCGCAAGUGACGGUAGGUGCAGAAGAAGGACCGGCCAACUACGUGCCAGCCGCCGCCGUAA
rnacentral:rRNA from 1 species